rnacentral:rRNA from 1 species
GGAGAGUGCAAGCGUUGUUCGGGAAUUAUUGGGCUUAAAGAGCGUGUAGGCGGAACAUCAGGUGCCUUGUCGAAAGCCCCCGGGGGCUCAACCCGGGGAAUUGCUGGGCAAACCGAUGUUCUUGAGGCAGGUAGAGGUGACUGGAACGACUGGUGGAGCGGUGAAAUGCGUAGAUAUCAGUUGGAACGCCAGAGGCGAAAGCGGGUCACUGGACCUGUCCUGACGCUGAGACGCGAAAGCGUGGGUAGCGAAGAGGAUUAGAUACCCUCGUAGUCCACGCCGUAAACGAUGCGCACUAGGUAUGGGAGGUUCUGACGCCGACCGUGCCGUAGCAAAAGUGAUAAGUGCGCCGCCUGGGGAGUACGGCCGCAAGGCUA